AUUGAACGCUGGCGGCAUGCUUUACACAUGCAAGUCGAACGGCAGCGCGGGCUUCGGCCUGGCGGCGAGUGGCGAACGGGUGAGUAAUGCAUCGGAACGUGCCCAGUAGUGGGGGAUAGCCCGGCGAAAGCCGGAUUAAUACCGCAUACGACCUGAGGGUGAAAGCGGGGGACCGAAAGGCCUCGCGCUAUUGGAGCGGCCGAUGUCGGAUUAGCUAGUUGGUGGGGUAAAGGCUUACCAAGGCGACGAUCCGUAGCUGGUCUGAGAGGACGACCAGCCACACUGGGACUGAGACACGGCCCAGACUCCUACGGGAGGCAGCAGUGGGGAAUUUUGGACAUGGGGGCAACCCUGAUCCAGCCAUGCCGCGUGCGGGAAGAAGGCCUUCGGGUUGUAAACCGCUUUUGUUCGGGAAGAAAUCCUCUGGGCUAAUACCCCGGGGGGAUGACGGUACCGGAAGAAUAAGCACCGGCUAACUACGUG
rnacentral:rRNA from 1 species